UACACAAAACUGCAAAACAAUCUUCUGUUUUCUUUAACAAAAACAGUGGGAGGUUAGAGCAUGGGAACUUGCACAGGGUUUUCAAUCACGACAUUAGUUAACAUUAUUCCCUUUCAGACCUGUUUUUCUGCUCUUGUUUUCCCAAUAUAUUUCUGUUGUGUAUUUCUAAGUUGCAGCCUAUGUUCUCGUUGCAGUUCUGCUGGUUAUUAACAUUUGUAGCUGUUGCAACUCUGAAAUCGUUCAGUUGCUUUGUAACUUAUGCUGGGCGGCUUUUUGGAGGUAUGUAGGAAAUAGCAAUGUCAGCUUGCAGUGAUUAAUCCUGAUACUGCUGAACUGAAUUUUAUGAAGUUUCAUUAUAGGUUAAGCACUAUUUAUUUGCUUUAUGCUGCUGUGCAGUGAAAAUAAAAUUGUACCUUACCCCUCCCAUAAUAGCCCUAUCACAUCCAACUGCACUUCUGAGAAGCACACCAAUCAUCCCCUGGGGACUUUCCCUCCUGCACGCUUUUCCAGUGGCACCAGCAGCAGUGGAACAUGGAGCUCUUCUGCCUUCAGCUUUCAGGUCUCAUCCCUUCUUGUGAGCACUGAGGAACGUACCCAAACCUGCUGCAGGAGGUCAGUGGCAUUCCAUAUACCCUCACAGACACGCAUGGAAGCCACUGCCUGAGUUCCCAAGAGAACAUAUUAAAGAUAAAGAGUGACCCCAUCUUUCUAGUCCAUCUCAGAUGCAGUUCCACCUGGGUCAGAAGGAAAUGCUCAUGUACAGCUCCUGCAGUACAGGUCCUGUGAGACCCCUGCACCAAGCAAGUUUCAGCUCCACCAUCAGAGGUAAAGACAAUGGCAACAACCAAGGUGAUCCAUGUGCUUUUGAAAACUGCAUGCAGCCCUCCUGCAUACGUAAAUGUCUUCAUCCUUUCUUGAUUCUCAGGAGCUAAAGGCAAACAAGCUGCUGGAUCUGGAUAGUAAAACACCUAUUUUUUGAAGCAAGCCAGCUCUGUGUCCUUAUCUUGCCUGUUCCAGAGGAAGGAAACUGAAAGUGGAUUAACUAACAUAAUGAAUGUUUCAAAGGAUAUAAAGUAAAAUCUGUUAUAUGAUGUAAAGCUGCGUUUCUUAGCUGAUAUUGCUAGGCCAGGUGGGUCCGAAGAGACUCUUUCUACUGCCAGAUGGAAUGGAAAAAGAACAGAAAGUAGAAAUGUAGCCUUAUACUGGGGGUUUACAAUGGACUCCACUACAGGGUGGUAGCAGAUGCUCCACACCUAUGAUUCAGUGUGGUUUGGUAACUCUUCAUGGGUUAUUCUCCUGCAUCUUAUUUAUCUAAAAAUAUCAGUAAACUUCCUGUUUGUACAGCACAUAGGGGACAUAUUUCCCAGUGUAUCAGCAGAGCCCCUGGGUCCUCUCCUAAAGUGAAAUAACUCCACUUUAUAUAGGAAGAAAAAGGGUUAGUAAAGGGUUUUCUUUUAUUGAAUUGUAGUAUCAUUUGGUAGGGAAAUAGAUAAGGGAAAUCUCAGUUAAAACACAAGCUACAAUUAGGACAAUACAUUUGAAAUGAUGAAAUACUUCUUGCCUGGAGCUCAGAAGCCAUAUUAAGAAUUGAAGUGUGAGAUAUUUGUUUUUAGUAGCUGUCAACAUGUAAUUUGUUUUCUUUACUUCUGGGAUUAAUACCUAAUUAUGGUGCACACAUGAAUUAAGAAGAUUGAGUGCAUUACUACACAUAUCUCUCUGGCUAAAAUCAGAACUCCUUUCCACAGAAUCUGUUUCACCGUGCUCUUCCAUGUUGACUUCAGCAACUCUGUGCACCUUACAGCCACCACAGGAAGUCCCUGACCUUGUCUCUUUUCAAAAGCCUGUUGUGUGAGAGAUAUCUGCUGCUGUUCUCCAUAUCACACUUUCCAACUCUUUGCUACAACUUGCUGCUGCAGAGUACAGCUGUCACUUCUGGAAGUUUUCAAGCUGUUUCUUAUUAACUGAUUAGAGUACUCAUUUCAGGAGAAUCUGUUACGAAAAGAUACCACAGUACACCACAGCAAAUUGUUUCAUUUCCAAGUUUGUUGUUACAUCUUACUCACUUGCAGAUCAUUCAACAAUGUUAAUGUGGUAGUUAGCCAUCACUAAUUUUCUUUUCCAGGUCCUGGAGGCAACUGUACCAGAAGUUAUACCACAGGCGACAGACCUGUCUGUGGUAAGAGGGAAGAAGUUGACUUUUUACAAGUAGCAUGUAGAAAAUAAAGACAGCCAUGCCCAGAUAUACAGUGACAUUUCAAAGAGGACCUAAAUGUUUAGAACUGCAAUGAAAUAUUAAGAAACCUGCAUUUGUUGUCAAUGUGUGUAGAAGUGGAAUUCAUCUCUGAAGAGUGACUCUGGAUUCAUCAUGAACUGGUGAGCUGUUUCAACGCCUCUCAGUCUUUAGGUUGUUCCACCUGCACAUACUGCCAACAUCAAGGAAUGUGAAUUAUAGGGCAGGUUUUGGGGCCAGUCUGUCUCUCAAGUGGAAUCUGAAAGAGAUUUUAGCUAGUUGUGUCAGAUCACUGAAGCACACCUGAUUUUGUGUGACCUGCAGUCUGCAAUGUAGCUAUGCUUAACUUGCAGGUAUCAAAAAAGCAGUCAGAGAAACCUAACAGAUGACUACAUAGAAACUGCUGAAAAAUUAUAGGGAUCUGCAAAUAAAAUAAGUUGAAAACUUGUUUUUAAGCAAUAUUGAUAACACAUUUGAAUGAAAAUAAUUAGUAUUGAAUAAUUGAUAACUGCAUCAGAAGGCUCAUGUACGUAAGUAAAAGAUUGCUGCUGCUUGUUUUUUCAGCAACUUCUGUUCCAGGCAAUGGAGCUGGUUUUGUCUCCAGCUUAUGCAAUGUUAGCAAAAUUGAGGUCUAAUUAAGUCUCAUUAAGCCUCACAAUUCUCCCUUUUUCCCUCCCCCCUCUAAUUUUACUCUUAUAAGAUAUUGAUCUUCUUGGUGUAAGCCAUCACAUUCACUGGUGCAAAUGCUCUCACUCCAUACAGAGACAUUUCAGGACUGUAUUUUUGAAAUAGGCAAUUUCUUUUCACAAAAGACUCAGCAGUCUAGUUUUUAUGCAGUUCCCUUUGGGAGCCACAGUAAAACUUCUGUGAAUGCUGCACUCAGUGCAGGGUACUUCACUGGCCUUCAUAAUUAGGAAACAUUGCUGCCUGAGCCUUGUUCAGACAGAUGAUUUCAACAGCCAAGUGAAUGUACUUAGCAGCAAAGCACGCUGUUCCUUUUUCAUUGCCUCUAAGACAGGAGAACUAUUCAGAGCUGCCUGAGCACAAUUAUUAAAUGUUCUGAGCUGCUUGGAGCCAUUUCAGUCAAUCUGAACAUUUAUUUCCUGUCAUAGCAAUGCAGAGUGAAGGCACUGACAGUCCUUAAAUGCAUUGCUCAGGGUAUACAACAAUUCAUAACCUAGCUUCUGGGCCAGGUGGUUUUAAGAUGUCCAGUGGUUUAGGUAGCACAGGUAUUGCUUCCUUGUGAUCACCUUGUGAUGAUGCUUUAACUAGCUGUAACACUGUGGCUGGGGACAGAUGUCCGGAACAGUGGUAAAUAGAGAUUUUUUUUUUCUCCUUUACAUCAUGGGCUUGAAGAGAGGCCAAGUACCUGGCACCUGAUGACUGCAGACUGUUGAACCAUGGCACAUAUGAGAUGAGCAUUUAAAAAGACGUGAUUGAGAACUUUUCUGUACAACUUGGACAGCAUUUCUGACAAUGCCAACAGCUAAGCCAUUAAGGCAAUGGACUUGGACCCUGAAUGCCAUUCUAACUUCCCUGAGUAUCACCCGAUCUUCAGGAUAAUGCAAAAAGAGAUCUUCCUCCAAAUACGGAAAUAUUGUUUUCCAUAUCAAUACUAUUUUUUUCCCAGUCUGCUUACCUCUAGCUUUGCAUCUGUUUACCCCUCACCAACCUCAUUACUAAUUCAAUCAUCUGAAUCCCCACCAGCAUCUACAGCCACCUAUGUUUUCUUCAUGAGUUAAAAAAGGAAAAAGAAACCCGUUUAUAUUGCUCAUUAUGUUCCAUGAAGUUAAUCUUAUUUGCAUAAAAAAGGUUUCCCCAGAAAAUCAAAUGAGGCUGACAGAUGUCCUAAAGAUUCUUUUUGUGCCUCAGAGGAAUACAUUGUAGAAACUGUUUACUGUAUCCUGAGUAAUGGGGUCUGUGAUAAGCAAUUUGUUUUGUAUGAAAACAAUGUCACCUCAAGCAGCUGAAGGAUAUCAUAUGACUUUCCCACACUGUCAGUGUUCCAUUUUAUCUCUUGGCUUCUUAGCACCUGCUGUAUUGAAAAUUAAUACAAGGGAAAGAGAAAAUUGCUGAAAACAUGUUAAACAUGCUACUGCAUUUCAAGGAUGUCGUGGUUAACUUUGCCAAUAUUAAAACCAGAAUCUAGUAGAAACCUGCACUUUGUGUGCAGUAUAUUAGAGCUGGCUUCAGGAUGAUGGGUCCCAUAGAAUUAUUACCCCUUAGGUCUGCAGAUGUUUCUUUUCUGGGACCUGACAGAACUUGAGGUUUAAGGAGGCUUUGGAUUACAUAGGCUUUGUCUUGUGAGUCAUGCCUAAUGGAAAAAAGUUAAGGAAUUCUCAAAUGUCAUCUGAAAUCAGGACUAACCAUCCAAAAAUCUCUGUAACACUGGGAGACUCCAUAGCUUUGUUUGUUUUGUUGAUCAAUUGCCUGUGAAGAAGGGGCAUCUUAAAAUAGCUGAACAUGAUGAAGGGACACACUGGGGAGCUUUAGCAAUGGAGGAGGAACCUGAGGGAGGCAAGAAGAAAAUUGAACUGCCUUCCACAGUGUUACUGCUGGUGACAAAGUGCCCACUUAUUCAGCACAAUGACAACAUUUUUGUUCUCAGUGUGAAAGGGCUGAACUUAAAGGGAAGCAACCAGAUUUCUCAUAAGAAUAUAUAUUAUACACUCAGUUAUACUAAAUUACAGACACUAAAUGAACAAUACUAAGACAUCCCUGAAUAGUGAAUCAUGGCCUCGGGUACGUGCACUCUGGGAAGUGAGAUAAUGUAGCCUGGAGAAAUCACCAUUCAGAUACUUAUUUGUUGUUUGGCAUUGCAAGAGGACCAGAGCAUGCAAAUUCAAAGUGAGCCAGGCUGAUACAACCCACAGCAGUAUCAGGAUCUACACACCACUAGCCAGGCAUAGCCAGGGCAGUGUACACAAAUGUGAGACCAUGGAUGGCUGAAGCUACAGACACAGGCUGAUUUGGGGCUGGUUUUGUUCCCAGGGUAGCCAGGCAUACCCAGCAGGUGCUGUCUCCCAUGUGGUGAGCACAAUGCCAGCCUCUCUUGCCAUGAGGAAAGCUUCACAACAGCAUGUGUCACCAGAGCCACCCAGCUCCUGCCCUAUUCUCUUCCAGGGUGUGGGACUGUAGUGGGUUUGGUGCAGAUGGGUGCUGGGGAGUGGCAUCCAUCUUACUGUUUUCCUUCUGUCUCACUUAGCCCAGGCACUUCAUACUGAAAGCAGGUCUGCUGGAGCUCUGGAGAUGCCCUAUGCCAUUAAACAUAUAAAAGAGGAUGUGUAGCAAGGCACCCCACUUUGCAGUCAUUGCUGAGCAGCUGUUAGCAUUGCUACACUGUGGGACUGUGCAAAAGCUACCCAUCAAGAGAUGCAAAGGAGCCUGCUGAAUAUACGUCUGUGUAUGCAUCUUCUAGAAAACUGGAAGUUAUAGAAGCUUGAGCAUCUUUCCUGGUGCUUAUGUCACCAUAUAUGGCAUCUUUCCAUUGGAAGUUCUCAGUGGACUUUGCAAAGGUGGUUAAUGGGUCUCCUCAUUUGGGAGCUAUGAAGUCUUGCUGAGAGCUGUCUGUGCAAGUCAAAGACAGAACCAGGCAUGUGACCCAGGUUUCUGUCUCAAACUAUUCACUUCUCAUGAAGCACCACUGCCUUCUGGUAGGGACUUCUUCUACUGCAUCAUUCAGGAUUUAUGAAAGUGAUGUAACCAACAGUUUCCAAAGUUUUCCUUCUAUAACAAUGUUCCUCUGAGCAGGGAAAUUUCCUUCCAGGUGAUGUCUGACUUGACAUGGGUUCUCUGCCAGGAUGCGGUUGCUAUGACAGCUGCUCCUAGUUCUGCAAAUCCUCAUCCUGCCAAUCCUCCACAAACACAACUCUUGCAUAUCCUGUAUUCUCUGGUAAAUCAAAAUAUGUUUCUGGUUUUAGUCCUUUAAUCUUCUCAUUUCUGUGUCUCCUUUUGUUUGGAAUCAGUGAUGUUAAAGCAGCCUUGUGCUGCCAAUAUUUUAACAACAGGUUUUCAAUAAAAAUAACCCCACCUCAGUCUAUGACAGAUUUGGAGUGCUGUAUUGCUUGGGCUACUGAGAAGGGAGACUGGGGAAUCUACUUUUGUAGCUAGCCUUUCAAAUAAAAACUCUUUCACAUAAAACCCAGGAAGUUAACAUUACUUGGCAAAUAAAUGCAGCUUAAGUGCUCUUAAGUGAAAGUAGUCACAAUAAACCUUCCUCCUAAAAAAUCUGCUGGGUAAUUUUCCAAUGAUGUGAGCUGGGGUGCUGGAUGGGCUGGGAAAGUGCAUGUGUGUGCAGGAGUGGCCACUUAAAGGUUUUGAGAAAACUUAUUUUAGCAAAUGUUAUAGCCCACAGGGAUAUAUAUUCUUUCACU